AUGCGCGAGUCAUUGGGUGUUAAAACCCAAAGGCGCAAUGAAAGUAAAGGUGUCCUUGUGGAGCUGAUAUGCGAUCCCGGGCAUCUCGGUGCCUGGGCGCAGCAUGGCCCCAUCCUAAUUGCUUGCGAUGGGGUGGAGGCAGAGCGUAUGCGCUGAGACCCGAAAGAUGGUGAACUAUUCCUGAGCAGGAUGAAGCCAGAGGAAACUCUGGUGGAAGUCCGAAGCGGUUCUGACGUGCAAAUCGAUCCGUCGACUUGGGUAUAGGGGCGAAAGACUAAUCGAACCAUCUAGUAGCUGGUUCCUUCC
rnacentral:rRNA from 1 species